rnacentral:rRNA from 1 species
UACGGAGGGGGCUAGCGUUGUUCGGAAUUACUGGGCGUAAAGCGCACGUAGGCGGCUUUGUAAGUUAGAGGUGAAAGCCCAGGGCUUAACCCUGGAAUUGCCUUUAAGACUGCAUCGCUAGAAUUGUGGAGAGGUAAGUGGAAUUCCGAGUGUAGAGGUGAAAUUCGUAGAUAUUCGGAAGAACACCAGUGGCGAAGGCGGCGAUCUGGGUCGAUACUGACGCUGAGGUGCGAAAGCGUGGGGAGCAAACAGG